UUGAACGCUGGCGGCAGGCCUAACACAUGCAAGUCGAACGGUAACAGGAAGCAGCUUGCUGUUUCGCUGACGAGUGGCGGACGGGUGAGUAAUGUCUGGGAAACUGCCUGAUGGAGGGGGAUAACUACUGGAAACGGUAGCUAAUACCGCAUAACGUCGCAAGACCAAAGAGGGGGACCUUCGGGCCUCUUGCCAUCGGAUGUGCCCAGAUGGGAUUAGCUAGUAGGUGGGGUAACGGCUCACCUAGGCGACGAUCCCUAGCUGGUCUGAGAGGAUGACCAGCCACACUGGAACUGAGACACGGUCCAGACUCCUACGGGAGGCAGCAGUGGGGAAUAUUGCACAAUGGGCGCAAGCCUGAUGCAGCCAUGCCGCGUGUAUGAAGAAGGCCUUCGGGUUGUAAAGUACUUUCAGCGGGGAGGAAGGGAGUAAAGUUAAUACCUUUGCUCAUUGACGUUACCCGCAGAAGAAGCACCGGCUAACUCCGUGCCAGCAGCCGCGGUAAUACGGAGGGUGCAAGCGUUAAUCGGAAUUACUGGGCGUAAAGCGCACGCAGGCGGUUUGUUAAGUCAGAUGUGAAAUCCCCGGGCUCAACCUGGGAACUGCAUCUGAUACUGGCAAGCUUGAGUCUCGUAGAGGGGGGUAGAAUUCCAGGUGUAGCGGUGAAAUGCGUAGAGAUCUGGAGGAAUACCGGUGGCGAAGGCGGCCCCCUGGACGAAGACUGACGCUCAGGUGCGAAAGCGUGGGAGCAAACAGGAUUAGAUACCCUGGUAGUCCACGCCGUAAACGAUGUCGACUUGGAGGUUGUGCCCUUGAGGCGUGGCUUCCGGAGCUAACGCGUUAAGUCGACCGCCUGGGGAGUACGGCCGCAAGGUUAAAACUCAAAUGAAUUGACGGGGGCCCGCACAAGCGGUGGAGCAUGUGGUUUAAUUCGAUGCAACGCGAAGAACCUUACCUGGUCUUGACAUCCACGGAAGUUUUCAGAGAUGAGAAUGUGCCUUCGGGAACCGUGAGACAGGUGCUGCAUGGCUGUCGUCAGCUCGUGUUGUGAAAUGUUGGGUUAAGUCCCGCAACGAGCGCAACCCUUAUCCUUUGUUGCCAGCGGUCCGGCCGGGAACUCAAAGGAGACUGCCAGUGAUAAACUGGAGGAAGGUGAGGAUGACGUCAAGUCAUCAUGGCCCUUACGACCAGGGCUACACACGUGCUACAAUGGCGCAUACAAAGAGAAGCGACCUCGCGAGAGCAAGCGGACCUCAUAAAGUGCGUCGUAGUCCGGAUUGGAGUCUGCAACUCGACUCCAUGAAGUCGGAAUCGCUAGUAAUCGUGGAUCAGAAUGCCACGGUGAAUACGUUCCCGGGCCUUGUACACACCGCCCGUCACACCAUGGGAGUGGGUUGCAAAAGAAGUAGGUAGCUUAACCUUCGGGAGGGCGCUUACCACUUUGUGAUUCAUGACUGGGGUG
rnacentral:rRNA from 1 species